ACUUCACCCAUUGCUUUUGAUUAGAUCUGAUACUUGAUUUUACAAGUUUUUGGGAUUUCUUCAGUUGUUUUAUCCACGCAAUGGGUUAGGUCGAUGUUGUUCCUUAUAUUUACGAUUAUUCUGAGUUGCUACUGAUCCUUUCAUCUAGGAUACUGGUGUGGCGUCUACUACUUUGGAUCGUUUACCUGGUGGCAUCAUUCAAGCCAGGUUAAUGUUUCAAGCUUUCAUAUCUUCCUGGCAAUUCCAGUUGGUAUUAAACAAAAAAGUAAUGUUGAUGACAUUGUUCAAAAGCGCUACCAAUAUCAUCUCUCUUCCCAUUCCUUUAUUUCAUGGCUCACAUUAGGUAGCUUGACGACUUCCUUAGGACCUUUCAUAUCCAAACAUUGUGGUAAAUGUUUGAUUUUGUAUUCUUACUAAAGCAAUGAUUGAUCAUUGUUAUUCUGUGAUUAUUUCUUUGGUUGGUUGUCUAACUUGACUAUACAUGAGCAUUUCAUGAUAAGGAUCAGUAGAGCAUUUGAAAACCGAAUGAUGUUAAUAAAUUGAUUAAAUUAAGAGCUUGAAUUGUCCACAUGGUUCAAUAAAAGUGAUGUGAUCUAGUUAGUGCCUGUUGAAAUGUAAACAUUAGUUUUAGAUUGAGGAAAGUGCUACACCUAAAUAUUUGGUUUUGUAGGCACAAGCUUUUGACUGAUGCAAUGUAUGUCUUC